rnacentral:snRNA from 1 species
AGCUUUGCGCAUUGGCAAUAUCGUAGCCAAUGAGGUGUACCCGAGGCGCAAUUAUUGCUAAUUGAAGGGGAAAAAAAGAAGUAAUGUAUAUGUAUAUCUCCUGAAUUUUACAUGGUUUUUAAAAAA